rnacentral:rRNA from 1 species
GAUGAACGCUGGCGGCGUGCCUAACACAUGCAAGUCGAACGGAAACAUAACGCUACUGAGAUUUCGGUCAAAGUUUGUUGUGUUUUAGUGGCGGACGGGUGAGUAACGCGUGGAUAACCUGCCAUAUACAGGGGGAUAACAGUUAGAAAUGACUGCUAAUACCGCAUAAGCGCACAGUCUCGCAUGGGACAGUGUGAAAAGCCGAGACGGUAUAUGAUGGAUCCGCGUCUGAUUAGCCAGUUGGCGGGGUAACGGCCCACCAAAGCGACGAUCAGUAGCCGGCCUGAGAGGGUGAACGGCCACAUUGGGACUGAGACACGGCCCAAACUCCUACGGGAGGCAGCAGUGGGGGAUAUUGCACAAUGGGGGAAACCCUGAUGCAUGACCGCGUGAGUGAAGAAGUAUUUCGGUAUGUAAAGCUCUAUCAGCAGGGAAGAUAAUGACGGUAC